CCUGCAGCCCCCCAAAAGGCCCCAAAGCCCCGCGCAGGUCCCGGCAGCUCACAGCACUCACUUGUCCCCCAUGAAGGCCCCAAAAGCCCCCCAAAAGGCCCCAAAAGGUCCUGGAAGAUCCCCAAAAAGCCCCCCAGAAGGCCCCGAUAGCCCCCCAAAAGGCCCCGAUAGCCCCCCAAAAGUCCCCCAAAAGGCCCCAAAAGGCCCCCAAAGGUCCUGGCAGGUCCCCUAAAAGCCCCCCCCAGGUCCCGGCAGCUCACAGCACUCACUUGUCCCCCAAAAGGCCCCAGAAGCCCCCCAAAAGGCCCCAAAAGGUCCUGGAAGAUCCCCAGAAGCCCCCCAAAAGGCCCCAAAAGGUCCUGGAAGAUCCCCAAAAAGCCCCCCAAUAGGUCCCAAAAGCCCCCCUGCAGCCCCCCAAAAGGCCCCAAAAGCCCCCCAAAAGACCCCAGCAGCCCCCCAAAAGGCCCCAGCAGCCCCCCAGCAGCCCCCCAAAGCCCCCCCAGGUCCCGGCAGCUCACAGCACUCACUUGUCCCCCAUGAAGGCCCCAAAAGUCCCCCAAAAGGCCCCAAAAGGUCCUGGAGGAUCCCCAAAAAGCCCCCCAGAAGGCCCCGAUAGCCCCCCAAAAGGCCCUGAUAGCCCCCCAAAAGGCCCCAGAAGCCCCCAUGAAGGCCCCAAAAGCCCCCAUGAAGGCCCCAAAAGCCCCCCAACGCCCCCAAGAGCCCCCCAUGAAGGCCCCAAAAGCCCCCCAAAAGGCCCCGAUAGCCCCCCAAAAGGCCCCAA
ensembl:lncRNA